UUGGUGCGAAACCGAUUGGUGA
rnacentral:misc_RNA from 1 species